rnacentral:lncRNA from 1 species
AGCGUGAAGAGGAACUGGCCCCCAUCUUCUCUACUCUAAUUUCCCAAAUAAUGUCUGUGAAUAUAGAGUCUUCGCAACCUGACUUCCUAAUUAAGAAAGUGACAUGUUUGGAAAGGAUUUUAAAUGACAGCGUUUGUCAAGCUGUUUGUUUAGUGAACUCUCUGGGUGUGCUGUUACACAAGAACUGUCUUAAUUAAGGUUAAUUGGUGCAUAAUUAUAGGCACUGCUGACUUAAAAGAUUCCACUGGCGGUAAAGCAAUGAGAACCCUUAAUGUCUAGACAAGGACAAAGCAAUCACAAUAAGCCAAAUUUCAAGACACAUUCUAUUUCCAACACAAGGGCCCUACCCCUGGUCUGACCUGUUUAGAAGGGCACAUCUCACCAAGUGUUUGGGAACCCCUUGUGAGCUUUGGAUAAAGAAAAUCUGAUUCCAGCCUCGUGGUAUUUAGAAAAAAACAAAGAAAAGUAAAUGCAAUGGUGGGCUGGUUAUUAUUCUAAACUGUUAAAAUUUAGCUCAGGUAAAAAUCAAUCAACUUCACUUUCUCUCUGUCCUUAUUUUCUUCCCUUGCAUAAAGGGAGAAGUGGGUUGGGUAGGCAGAUGGGCAUAGAGAAUAGAGGCAGUAUCGUUCUCAAUAUCGGAAAAUGACUAGAAACAACGUGGUAGCCUGUUUCCCAUGUCUACCACGGGCACCACUGGUGCAUCACAGUGCAGUCCCCGACUUAUGUUAGCUACAAGCCCGGGUUUCCCAAGAGGGAGGGCACCAGACACCAAAAUGAACUCCAAGUGAGGUCAUAAAAUUGCUUUCCCUAGUGUCUUUAAAAACAAGAUGAAAGCAUGCAGCACUGGCUGGCGUUAGCAAGAACUUAUUUGGAAGCUGGAGAUUGACUAGAACUUCUGUAAGGAACCACCUAUUUUUGUUCCUGUUGGCUAUUUUCUUUUAAUUUCCAAUCCAUUGUGGACCAAUAUUUUUGUAAAAUACAAUAUAAGUGAGUUACUAAAUAAAUUUAAAAAGACAAAGUGCAAGUCCAAAUAUGUUAAUGUUAGAUUCAACAGACACAAAAUGAUUCAGUUAUUAUAAAAGUUUGUAAUAUUCCUUUGCAAUUUCUAUACUCAUCUCUUUGCAGAGCUCUAAGAAACAGCUUGGAUUGGGGCCCCAAGGUACUGUGCCAGAGGCCCGUGGGGUCGUCUUGGCCCUUCAGGCUCCUGGAAUGCUGCAGCUUUGCGUUCUGAGCAUGCGCAGCCCACUCCCCACAUCUGACCUCAGGCGGUCCGUCCCUUGCACAUGUGAUGAGGUCCUAUCCUCACACCUGGCUCGGCCUUUGGGGCGAGGCUCAGCUGCCUGGUGACUCUGAGGGGCUGGGGGCCAAAGAGUCCACGAGCAUUGAGAUUUGCGUGACGGAUGGUGUGAGCCAGUGUCCUUAUGGAGGAGUCUGGGAGGAGGGGCCUCCGGCACCCCAGGCACCCAGAUGUUUCUUAUCCCAGGAUUCCCCUGCGCGGCCUGUAAAACUCUGGAGAAAACGCGAGAUGGGGCUUCCUCUGGGAAGAGUGAUGGCGCUGCAGGGCCGGCAGGGUGAUUCCGCCGCUCUGAGCCUUUCUGAGGCUCAGGUCACGCCAGCCCAUCCUCUCCCUGCCCCUCCAUCAGGACUCGCACUUGCCCCUGAGUCACCAAGCGCACCCUGCGGUCUCCAACUGCUCCCUGUUUGAAGAAAGUAGCGCUAAUCUGUGAACUCCACUUUGAAUACAGCUGGCCCAGGCAUUUGCUUGGUAUAAGGAUGCAAAAGUGAACAAUACAAGCAGGAUCUUUGCCUUCGCGGAGACAUUUAGCAGUCACAGGGUAUAUGCUCAACCUUAGACUACAUUUACCAGCCUCCCUUGCAGCGAGUUGUGGUCACCUGACCUCAUCUGUUGAGAAGAAUGCAAUCAGCAGUAGCAUACAAUCUUCCAGGCAUGAACCAUGAAAACUUCCCACAAUCUUCUGUGUUCUUUCUUCCCCAUCUAACAGCCUAGAGGUUGAAGAGUGGACAAGACAGAAGGAAACUAGGCCCUGAAUGAGCAUUCAGGCCUACCAUCAAAUCAGAUGUUCAGUUUCAGCUUUGAGGGAAUGAGCUACUUUUUAGGGGAGUUGAGUUACUGAAAUUCGUUACUUGCCUAAUUAAUGUGCAAGUCUGGAUGCCAUGCUGUGGAAUUUAAUUGGACGGUGUUGUUUUUGGCUAAGCAUAAUUUGCUCUGAAAAAAAUCUCAAAAGAGUUAUUUCAAGUUGCCAGCUGUUGCUCUUUUGAGAGUGAAGUCACCAAGUCAACAAGAGAACUCAACACUUCCAGGAAUAAGCCCCAAUUUGCUCUUUUAAGCUAUGCUACCGUAAGGCAAAAGAGUAUUCUUUCCUCUGGGCAGUUGUGGAAAGCGAGUUUUGGGGGAGUUCCAGCUGGCAGAGUCUUCCCUUCAGAUUAUCAGUUGGAACAGAAUGGAACUUAUUGUCUGGGCAGUGGAGCUUUCUACUUUCAAUAUCUUAUCUGUAUAUGUCUCUGAAUGUUGAAAAUGGAUGGAGAGAAAGACAGAGACGAGAGAAUGACAGCGAGCGAGCAAGGGCUUCAGCUUCUCAGUGAAGACUCACGAGUUAACUUAUUCUAAAGAAAGCAGUAAUGCUGUUUGCUGCCGAGCAAGGAAGCUGUUUACCACCAGGAAGUGACAAAGGCUAGAGUGGGAAGCAGCAAAUGCAAAAGAGGAAAUGGUUUAUAAGCCCCCAGAAGAUAGAAACAGAUGGAAGUUGAUGAAAAGUGUUGGGGCGAAGGAUGCCCCAUGUGAUUCUUUUUCCAAAAGUUAAAGCUUAUCCUUUGGCCAGUACUUGCUCUUCCCUGCUGGUGCACAUUCUUCGUGUGAUUUUGCUAAUUUUUAAAGAGCUGAUCUAAAUGCUUUAGAAUCCUCAAAACCCUCAUGUUGGUCAACAACUAAAUGACUCAUGUGAAUUUGAAUUCUGCAGAUGAUAAAAUCAACAGAAACUCUGAGAAACGUACAAAGAAAGAAAACUCCAAGGACUUAUUAGCGAUUUUACAAGCCAAAGCUAGGCUCCUUUUUUAUUUUUUCUUUUUCCUUUUGCAUGAUCACAAAUUGGUCCAGAGCAGGGAGCAGAACCCAAGGUUCACACAUAUAUUUAUUUAGUUAGCAAGACAUUCCUACUUUUAUAGCUCAAAGUUCUUAACUUUCUUGUUAGCAAAUGUUAACAAGGUUUAAAAUGUAUAAAGUGAGCUGUGGCAUGUAAAAAAUUUUGGCCUAUCCUAGCUCCUUCUUUUUUUAUACCUACGUUCAAUGAAAACUUCCUACUGACAGGCAGAACGUCUGGGCAACUUUAUAGAUAGUGUUCCCACCUCGGGGCCACAAGGUCACAGAUUUGUUCCUGAUUCUAUUUAAAAAACGCUCAACAAUGGAAAUAUCCCCUUAAAUUCAGGACUGGACUCCAGCUGGUUUGUCCUCCACUCAGCGAGGCCCCAGGAGGAGUGGAUCUGUUGGUGUCGUCCCAGAUGCCCUUGACUGGCUUGCACACCCAUCUGCCAAUUACUCAUCCUGGAACUUUGACUUAAGAAUAGUAGGAGACUUGAACUAAUUGUCCUGCCGUAAAGACACAUGGAGAUACUCUUCCACGAUCAGAGGGUUGUUUCUUAUUCUCCACAAAAUUAACAACACUCCAGUGACUGUCUUUGCAACUAAAUUUCUGUGGAUGGUCCUAUAGGGAGGAGGAGAAAUGAGGAGAGAUGAAGAAAAUAUCUAUGGCCAUGGUGGCAGUACCACAGUACUGGGUGGGAAAUGUCCGAGAAAAUUUUACUCUUGAAAAUUUGAACCAUGAGAUUCUUCAACUUAGAAAGCUGGGGCCCCAAGUUACUUAUGUUUUAAUUACUAUUAUUAAGAUCUUGGCUAUUGUGGAUUUGCAAAUAUUUUAAAUUAUAUAAACAGUAAGAAGAGAUGUAUUAAAUAAAAGAGAUGGAAAUCUCUAGGAGAGUCCAAAUAUGCAAUAAUUAUCACUCUUUCACUAACAGACUUUACUAAUAAAAAUAAAGCACUUACAGGCAUGAAAAUGAUCUAAAUACCAUAUCAUUAUAAGUUGCUUCCUGUGUUCUCAGGCUGAAAGAUUAUUGAAGAUCCUGCUAAGAAAGUAAAACCACAGGACAUUCUGAAAUAAAAGUGUGCGCAUGUUGGGGUAUGUUCACCAGAGCAUA